rnacentral:rRNA from 1 species
UACAGAGGGUGCGAGCGUUGUUCGGAUUUACUGGGCGUAAAGAGCGCGCAGGCGGUCGUGCAAGUCGCGUGUGAAAGCCCCCGGCUCAACUGGGGGGGGUCACGCGAUACUGCUCGACUCGAAGGCAGGAGAGGGAAGUGGAAUUCCCGGUGUAGUGGUGAAAUGCGUAGAUAUCUGGAGGAACACCGGUGGCGAAGGCGGCAUCCUGGACCAACACUGACGCUGAGGAGCGAAAGCCAGGGGAGCAAACGGG